rnacentral:rRNA from 1 species
CAUAUCAAUAAGCGGAGGAAAAGAAACCAACAGGGAUUGCCCCAGUAACGGCGAGUGAAGCGGCAACAGCUCAAAUUUGAAAUCUGGCCCCCCGGCCCGAGUUGUAAUUUGGAGAGGAUGCUUCUGGCGCGGCGCCGUCCGAGUUCCUUGGAACAGGACGCCACAGAGGGUGAGAGCCCCGUACGGACGGACGCCUAGCCUCUACGAAGCUCCUUCGACGAGUCGAGUAGUUUGGGAAUGCUGCUCAAAAUGGGAGGUAAAUUUCUUCUAAAGCUAAAUACCGGCCAGAGACCGAUAGCGCACAAGUAGAGUGAUCGAAAGAUGAAAAGCACUUUGAAAAGAGGGUUAAAAAGUACGUGAAAUUGUUGAAAGGGAAGCGCCUGUGACCAGACUUGCGCCCCGCGGACCACCCGGCGUUCUCGCCGGUGCACUCUGCGGUGCGCAGGCCAGCAUCGGUUCUCCCAGGGGGACAAAGGCCGCGGGAACGUAGCUCCUUCGGGAGUGUUAUAGCCCGCGGCGGCAUGCCCCUGGGGGGACCGAGGACCGCGCUUCGGCAAGGAUGCUGGCGUAAUGGUCACCAGCGAC